GGGUGACUCCCGAUGACCUGGAUGCUUUUGUGCGGUUUGAGUUUCACUACCCUAACUCGGUGAGGUUCAGGUAGAAGUAGGAUCCUCUGAAACCCGCCUUGCAUUCCAGGACCCUGUGCUCACUUUCUUCCCAUCCCUGGGAGGUGUGGCUGCAGUGCCUGCCCUGUGUGCCUCUUUGUUUAUACGCUGUCCUGACUUCUCCCUCCUCACUGCUUAGGACCAGGCUCAAAAAAGCAAAACAGCUGUGGUGAAGAACACAAACUCUCCAGAAUUUGAUCAACUCUUCAAACUAAACAUCAACCGAAACCACCGGGGCUUCAAGAGAGUGAUCCAGAGCAAAGGCAUCAAGUUUGAGAUCUUCCACAAAGGGUCCUUCUUCAGAAGCGACAAGCUGGUUGGCACAGCACACCUGAAACUGGAGCGCCUGGAGAAUGAGUGUGAAAUCAGAGAAAUUGUGGAGGUCCUGGAUGGAAGGAAGCCCACCGGGGGGAAGCUGGAGGUGAAGGUGAGGCUGCGGGAGCCUCUGAGUGGCCAGGAUGUGCAGAUGGUCACUGAGAACUGGCUGGUUCUGGAGCCC
rnacentral:sRNA from 1 species